ACGUCGUAACAAGGUUUCCGUAGGUGAACCUGCGGAAGGAUCAUUG
rnacentral:rRNA from 1 species